rfam:Ictidomys tridecemlineatus contig082868, whole genome shotgun sequence.
UGGGUUGUGGCUCAGUGGUAGAGUGCUCAACUACCAUGUGGAAAGCACUGGGUUCGAUCCUCAGCACCACAU